UACGUAGGGGGCUAGCGUCGUCCGGAAUCAUUGGGCGUAAAGAGCGUGUAGGCGGUCCGGUAAGUCCGCUGUGAAAGUCGGGGGCUCAACCCUCGAAUGCCGGUGGAUACUGUCGGGCUAGAGUGCGGAAGAGGCGAGUGGAAUUCCUGGUGUAGCGGUGAAAUGCGCAGAUAUCAGGAGGAACACCUAUUGCGAAGGCAGCUCGCUGGGACGUAACUGACGCUGAGGCGCGAAAGCGUGGGGAGCAAACAGG
rnacentral:rRNA from 1 species